rnacentral:rRNA from 1 species
CUCCUGGAAACGGGUGGUAAUGCCGGAUGCUCCACAUGAUCACAUGUGAUUGUGGGAAAGAUUUAUCGGUAUGGGAUGGGGUCGCGUCCUAUCAGGUAGUUGGUGGGGUAAUGGCCUACCAAGCCUACGACGGGUAGCCGGCCUGAGAGGGCGACCGGCCACAUUGGGACUGAGAUACGGCCCAGACUCCUACGGGAGGCAGCAGUGGGGAAUAUUGCACAAUGGGCGCAAGCCUGAUGCAGCGACGCCGCGUGCGGGAUGACGGCCUUCGGGUUGUAAACCGCUUUUGUUAGGGAGCAAGCGCAAGUGAGUGUACCUUUCGAAUAAGCACCGGCUAACUACGUGCCAGCAGCCGCGGUAAUACGUAGGGUGCAAGCGUUAUCCGGAAUUAUUGGGCGUAAAGAGCUCGUAGGCGGUUUGUCGCGUCUGGUGUGAAAGUCCAUCGCUUAACGGUGGAUCUGCGCCGGGUACGGGCAGGCUAGAGUGUGGUAGGGGAGACUGGAAUUCCCGGUGUAACGGUGGAAUGUGUAGAUAUCGGGAAGAACAC